rnacentral:rRNA from 1 species
GAUGAACGCUGGCGGCGUGCCUAAUACAUGCAAGUCGAGCGAACAGACGAGGAGCUUGCUCCUCUGACGUUAGCGGCGGACGGGUGAGUAACACGUGGAUAACCUACCUAUAAGACUGGGAUAACUUCGGGAAACCGGAGCUAAUACCGGAUAAUAUAUUGAACCGCAUGGUUCAAUAGUGAAAGACGGUUUUGCUGUCACUUAUAGAUGGAUCCGCGCCGCAUUAGCUAGUUGGUAAGGUAACGGCUUACCAAGGCAUCGAUGCGUAGCCGACCUGAGAGGGUGAUCGGCCACACUGGAACUGAGACACGGUCCAGACUCCUACGGGAGGCAGCAGUAGGGAAUCUUCCGCAAUGGGCGAAAGCCUGACGGAGCAACGCCGCGUGAGUGAUGAAGGUCUUCGGAUCGUAAAACUCUGUUAUUAGGGAAGAACAAAUGUGUAAGUAAAUACGGACGUCUUGACGGUACCUAAUCAGAAAGCAACGGCUAACUACGUG